CCAAUCUUCAAGAACAAGGGGGAUGUUCAGAGUUGUACUAAUUACCAUGGAAUUAAGCUGAUGAGCCAUACAAUGAAGCUAUGGGAGAGAGUUAUUGAGCACCGCUUAAGAAGAAUGACAAGCGUGACCAAAAAUCAGUUUGGUUUCAUGCCUGGGAGGUCGACCAUGGAAGCCAUUUUCUUUGUACGACAACUUAUGGAGAGAUAUAGGGAGCAAAAGAAGGACUUGCAUAUGGUGUUCAUUGACUUGGAGAAGGCCUAUGAUAAGAUACCGCAGAAUGUCAUGUGGUGGGCCUUGGAGAAACACAAAGUCCCAGCAAAGUACAUUACCCUCAUCAAGGACAUG
rnacentral:rRNA from 1 species